CAGCCGCCGCGGUAAUACGUAGGGUGCGAGCGUUAAUCGGAUUUACUGGGCGUAAAGCGUGCGCAGGCGGCCCGUUAAGACAGGUGUGAAAUCCCUGGGCUCAACCUAGGAAUUGCGCUUGUGACUGGCGGGCUCGAGUACGGUAGAGGGGGUGGAAUUCCUGGGGUAGCAGUGGAAUGCGUAGAGAUCAGGAGGAACACCGAUGGCGAGGGCAGCCCCCUGGGCCUGUACUGACGCUCAUGCACGAAAGCGUGGGGAGCAAACAGGAUUAGAUGCCCUGGUAGUCCACGCCCUAAACGAUGGGUACUAGCCGUUUGGUGCGCGAUAGCGCUGAGUGGCGAAGCUAACGCGUGAAGUACCCCGCCUGGGGAGUACGGCCGCAAGGUUGAAACUUAAAGGAAUUGGCGGG
rnacentral:rRNA from 1 species